rnacentral:lncRNA from 1 species
GUAAAGUUUUAAUUUUAUAUCAAUUUUUAUUGAUAUUUCUGCCUUUUUUGCAAGAGUUAUUUCCCUUUUCAAUGCAAAUCUCCAUAGGAAUUUUAAAUGGUGAUUUUUUUAGUCUUCCUCAAGUUAGAUUUUAUGGGACUUUUUUUCUGUGUAUAUUUGGGGUAUAAUGCUAAAGAUUAAAACUCAAAAAUCUUCUGUUGCAAUUACUUUCAGGUUAGGGUCAAAUUUAUGCUAGAUUGACUGGACUA